AUGCUAGUGGUCUCACAAUCUUCAGCCUUCAUUCUAAAUGGUACACCUCUAUCGCCUCUGCGAUUCAUCCUGGCAAUUGAUCCCCUUCACCGUCUCAUCGCCAAAGAUACAAAAGACGGAAUUUUGGCACCUUUGCCAGGACGAGAGAUCAAGUUACGGGUCAGUCUUUAUGUUGAUGAUGCUAUCAUCUUUGCGAACCCGGACAGAGAGGAGUUUGACAAGCUACUGGAGAUCCUAGAUUACCUCGGAGAGGCCUCAGGACUGCGCCUCAACCCAACCAAAUCCACUGUAACCCCACUAAGAUGCGAAGAGAUUGAUCUUGCUGAUGUCCUACAAAAUUUUGGUGGGCAAAUCAAGGAAGUGGACAAGGUGCGUCUGCGUUUCCUCUGGGCACAGGAAAAAGAGAUCUCUGGUGGGCAGUGCAAAGUAAAAUGGGACAAGGUUUGCUCCCCAACUGAUCGGGGAGGGCUGGGAAUUCUGGAUCUUGAGAGAUUCUCUCACGCACUCCGGCUGCGCUGGUUAUGGCUGGAAUGGCACCAUGCUGAACGCCCAUGGGUAGGUUCAGAACUGCCCUGUGAUAGCAAAGACAGAGCGCUGUUU
rnacentral:rRNA from 1 species